rnacentral:rRNA from 1 species
GAUGAACGCUGGCGGCGUGCCUAAUACAUGCAAGUCGAGCGAAUGGAUUAAGAGCUUGCUCUUAUGAAGUUAGCGGCGGACGGGUGAGUAACACGUGGGUAACCUGCCCAUAAGACUGGGAUAACUCCGGGAAACCGGGGCUAAUACCGGAUAAUAUUUUGAACUGCAUGGUUCAAAAUUGAAAGGCGGCUUCGGCUGUCACUUAUGGAUGGACCCGCGUCGCAUUAGCUAGUUGGUGAGGUAACGGCUCACCAAGGCAACGAUGCGUAGCCGACCGAGGAGGGUGAUCGGCCACACUGGGACUGGGCCACGGCCCCGACUCCUACGGGAGGCAGCAGUAGGGAAUCUUCCGCAAUGGACGACAGUCUGACGGAGCAACGCCGCGUGAGUGAUGAAGGCUUUCGGGUCGUAAAACUCUGUUGUUAGGGAAGAACAAGUGCUAGUUGAAUAAGCUGGCACCUUGACGGUACCUAACCAGAAAGCCACGGCUAACUACGUGCCAGCCGCCGCAGUAA